CGAGUGGCGGACGGGUGAGUAAUGUCUGGGAAACUGCCUGAUGGAGGGGGAUAACUACUGGAAACGGUAGCUAAUACCGCAUAACGUCGCAAGACCAAAGAGGGGGACCUUAGGGCCUCUUGCCAUCGGAUGUGCCCAGAUGGGAUUAGCUAGUAGGUGGGGUAAAGGUUCACCUAGGCGACGAUCCCUAGCUGGUCUGAGAGGAUGACCAGCCACACUGGAACUGAGACACGGUCCAG
rnacentral:rRNA from 1 species